UCGGCCUUAAGCAGCCACGGCGGCUAUAGUUGCAAGCAAAAUACCGAUUGCUUCCUGGCAUGAAAUUGUCAGCUAAGUUAAAAAAGGGAUGUGGACGCCCUUAUAAACUGUAGUGAACGUGUAAAGGCCCGCGAUAACAAUGUAGAUAUGCGACAUCAGGUGCACUGUCAUUUUGUUGUGACCGCCGGCCACCGCCAAGAAAAUGUCGUUCUUUUGCUAUAAUAUUAACAGCCCUCCACCUUGUAUGCUGUUAUCGCUGAAAGGGACGACUUUGUUACUCACUCCAGUUAGAAGGCUGGGUGAGUACACGUGAAAGGCUUCGUUACGUCAGCGGCACCUGAAGUCGAGCUUCGAAAUUAUUGGACGAAAUCUCUUUCUUAAGCGCUGAAGAAACAAAGCGGGAAGGAAGAUAUAAAGGUGCGUUGCCCAGCCUUCCGAUCACUCGCAAGGCUCUCAGCUGGAUGAAGGCUGCCUGGAAGUUCUUCAGCUCGUCUGUCCUAAAGCACCGUCUCCGAGCCUACCACGACGACGCCAAGAUGCAGCCAUUUUCUGCCGUCGCCAUGAAGCUCUUCUUGUUCGCCGCCGUAUUGGUCGCGAUACUGCUGCUUGCCCAAGGGCAAACUGUUGACUACAUACGCGGUGGAGGAGGGGGAGGUCCCAAACACACUUGAGUCAGCCACGUCGAUGGCACCGUCCGAUUUUACAAGGCUCAACCGACAGCGCUGGCAUGGACGACACAAGGUCAUUCCACUUGGCUGAGCCCUACACAACGAUGCCGUAUCAAUCGUCGUGACCAUUCAAUAAAGGACUUCAACGCUGUAGAAAAAA